GAUGAACGCUGGCGGCGUGCCUAAUACAUGCAAGUCGAGCGAACGGACGAGAAGCUUGCUUCUCUGAUGUUAGCGGCGGACGGGUGAGUAACACGUGGAUAACCUACCUAUAAGACUGGGAUAACUUCGGGAAACCGGAGCUAAUACCGGAUAAUAUUUUGAACCGCAUGGUUCAAUAGUGAAAGACGGUCUUGCUGUCACUUAUAGAUGGAUCCGCGCUGCAUUAGCUAGUUGGUAAGGUAACGGCUUACCAAGGCAACGAUGCAUAGCCGACCUGAGAGGGUGAUCGGCCACACUGGAACUGAGACACGGUCCAGACUCCUACGGGAGGCAGCAGUAGGGAAUCUUCCGCAAUGGGCGAAAGCUUGACGGAGCAACGCCGCGUGAGUGAUGAAGGUCUUCGGAUCGUAAAACUCUGUUAUUAGGGAAGAACAAAUGUGUAAGUAACUGUGCACGUCUUGACGGUACCUAAUCAGAAAGCCACGGCUAACUACGUG
rnacentral:rRNA from 1 species